CCUACGGGUGGCUGCAGUGAGGAAUAUUGGUCAAUGGACGCAAGUCUGAACCAGCCAUGCCGCGUGCAGGAUGACGGCUCUAUGAGUUGUAAACUGCUUUUGUACGGGGGUAAACCCCGAUCCUUGUAUCGGUUUGAAUGUAUCGUACGGAUAAGGAUCGGCAAACUCCGGGCCAGCCGCCGCGGUAAUACGGAGGAUCCGAGGGUUAUCCGGAUUUAUUUGGUUUAAAGGGUGCGUAGGCGGUUUGAUAAGUUAGUGGUGAAAUGUCGGGGCUAAACCCCGAAAUGGCCUCUAAUACGGUUGGACUAGAGAAUAGUUGCGGUAGGAGGAAUGUAUGGGGUAGCGGUGAAAUGCUUAGAGAUCAGACAGAACACCGAUGGCGAAGGCAGCUCACCAAACUAUAUCGGACGUUGAGGCACGAAAGCGUGGGUAGCAAACAGGAUUAGAUACCCAGUAGUC
rnacentral:rRNA from 1 species